rnacentral:rRNA from 1 species
AACAAACGCUCGCGGCGUGCCUAAUACAUGCAAGUCGAACGGGGAAAGCUUUCGGGUGAGUACUAGUGGCGCACGGGUGAGUAACGCGUGGAUAAUCUGCCUUAGAGUGGGGGAUAACUAGUCGAAAGAUUAGCUAAUACCGCAUAAGACCACAAGAACUGCGGUUCUAGGGGUCAAAGGUUUUUCGCUCUAAGAUGAGUCCGCGUAAGAUUAGCUAGUUGGUAAGGUAACGGCCUACCAAGGCGACGAUCUUUAACUGGUCUGAGAGGAUGAUCAGUCACACUGGAACUGAGACACGGUCCAGACUCCUACGGGAGGCAGCAGUAGGGAAUAUUGCACAAUGAAGGAAACUCUGAUGCAGCGACGCCGCGUGAGUGAUGAAGGCCUUCGGGUCGUAAAGCUCUGUCGCAGGGGAAUAACACAAUGAAGGUACCCUGUAAGAAAGGAUCGGCUAACUUCGUGCCAGCAGCCGCAGUAACAC